AUUGAACGCUGGCGGCAGGCCUAACACAUGCAAGUCGAACGCGUGGCGGACGGGUGAGUAAUGUCUGGGAAACUGCCUGAUGGAGGGGGAUAACUACUGGAAACGGUAGCUAAUACCGCAUACCAUCAGAUGUGCCCAGAUGGGAUUAGCUUGUUGGUGGGGUAACGGCUCACCAGGGCAACGAUCCCUAGCUGGUCUGCAAGGAUGACCAGCACAACUGGAACGGAGCCACGGUCCAGACUCCUACGGGAGGCAGCAGUGGGGAAUAUUGCACAAUGGGCGCAAGCCUGAUGCAGCCAUGCCGCGUGUAUGAAGAAGGCCUUCGGGUUGUAAAGUACUUUCAGCGGGGAGGCGUUACCCGCAGAAGAAGCACCGGCUAACUCCGUGCCAGCAGCCGCGGUAAUUC
rnacentral:rRNA from 1 species